rnacentral:rRNA from 1 species
UACAGAGGGGGCAAGCGUUGUUCGGAAUUACUGGGCGUAAAGGGCGCGUAGGCGGCCUUCUAAGUCGAACGUGAAAUCCCCGGGCUCAACCCGGGAACUGCGUCCGAUACUGGAUGGCUUGAAUCCGGGAGAGGGAUGCAGAAUUCCAGGUGUAGCGGUGAAAUGCGUAGAUAUCUGGAGGAACACCGGUGGCGAAGGCGGCAUCCUGGACCGGUAUUGACGCUGAGGCGCGAAAGCUAGGGGAGCAAACGGG